AAGUCGUAACAAGGUUUCCGUAGCAAGAUUCUUCUUAGCGAAGCCUGACGCGGCGACUAUAAACAAGUGCGCGGUCUGCUCUGCAGGCGACACCGUCACAAUGCCUGGGAUCAAGGGCAAUGCCCCACGACCAGCAAACCAGUCCCUGGACUGGUCCACAGAUUAAACAGCGGUGGUUGAUAAAAGUUGGACGUGCUUGAUUUUGACCGUCCAUUGUCAACUAAGAUAUAUUCGGCCAGGGGUCUAAUGACCCCUGAAACUGCGUUCCGUAGGUGAACCUGCGGAAGGAUCAUUACCGAGCGAGGGUCGCAAGGCCCGAACCUCCCACCCAUGUGUAUCGACCUCUGUUGCUUCGGUGGACCCGCGGGCGUCGCCCGCCACCGGCCUCGGCCGGUCCGCGUCCACCAGAGGCCCUGUCAACUCGUCCAUGUUGCGGUCCAAGUAUAACAUCAAUAAUCAAAACUUUCAACAACGGAUCUCUUGGUUCUGGCAUCGAUGAAGAACGCAGCGAAAUGCGAUAAGUAAUGUGAAUUGCAGAAUUCAGUGAAUCAUCGAAUCUUUGAACGCACAUUGCGCCCCUUGGUAUUCCGAGGGGCAUGCCUGUUCGAGCGUCAUUGUCAACCUCAAGCUUGGCUUGGUGUUGGGCCUCCGUCCGGUCGCGACGGGCCCGAAACGCAGUGGCGACCCCGCCGGAUCUCGGGCGUAGUAAAGCAUCACGCUUGGGGGUCCGACGGCCGGUCCGCCGAACCACAUCAUCACACGUUUGACCUCGGAUCAGGUAGGGAUACUCGCUGAACUUAA
rnacentral:rRNA from 1 species